rnacentral:tRNA from 1 species
GCCCCUAUAGUUUAAUGGCAAAACGCAAGCAUGGUAAGCUUGAAAUACAAGUUCGAUUCUCGUUGGGGGCA